ACUCCGGUAGCUCAAGAGGUAGAGCAGCGGUCUCCAAAACCGCAUGUUGCAGGUUCGAACCCUGCCGGGAGUG
rnacentral:tRNA from 1 species